rnacentral:tRNA from 1 species
GUUCUUAUUGUUUCACCAGCGGUGGUUUUUCGGACCACAGGGCUUGGUGUUUAAAUCCAAGUAGGAACUAG